AGCUCAAUUCAACAACCAAAUACAAAACCAUGUAAUUUUAGGGCUAGAAUCAAAAAGCGGUGCUAUCCCACAAACGCUAUUCUUCUUAAUUUUAUUUCUUCAUCAGCCGCGUGCUGUUUCUUCUUUCAUCCUUGUUACUGAUAAUCUUCUUUCUGCAGCAAUAUUGAUCCCUAAUUCCCAUCUUUUUUUGUUGUCUUCGUCGACGCCAUCGAAUAGAGUUAGCUGAAAUUAGAGGAUGUGUCCUUAAGCUUUUCGCCUCCACUGCUGCCGUUGAACGGAGUUGCAUUUUCCAACGAACACAAUCAUCCUUGUUUCGGCGCACCAAUAGGGCGCCGUGCGCCGCCCCCUUUUCAUGCCGCCGCCGCCCCCUGCUCCACAGUCGACGCCACGGCCGCCGCCUUCGCCCCAUCCAUCUCUCUCUUGAACUCACUCCGUCGUCUCUCUCCCACCUCCACCGAUUUGCCGCCGCCUUCGCCUGGACUUCCUUUUGUCCACGCCACUUACGAUGACUUGCUCGAUUCCCAUCGCGGAUGUUGCUAAAUCGAAUAUGCCAGAUAUGUGAACCGAGCCCUAGAUGUUGAUCUCGUAUGCCGGAUCGCAUAACCUGGUGGAAGACUUUUCAAGAUUUAGAUAGUCUUUCUGCAUUUGGAUCUAGCCCAUUUACUUCGCAAUUUAAACAAAAAUUGAAUUGUGGUGUUGGGAUCUUGGGCUGAAUAGCAACGGCGGAGCCUAAGAUACCCUUUUGACACUACAUUCCACAGUGAAGUGUGCCUUCGGUCAAGCAAUCGAUCGAACACUUGUCGGGCGAAAUCUGUUGGCCUCAAUUUUGUGCAUUUUUAGAUGAAAUGGGAGCUUACAGUAUGGUGACUGUGUUCAGUGGCAUUGAUAGUAAUCUGCGACUGAAUUAGUUGGAGUUGUUUCGAGGUCUUACAUGAUAGGAAUUGAAGCUGACGAAGAUGAUUGAUUUGGGUUUCUAUUCAUUGAAAAAUUGUGACUUAUUCAUUUAAAGUUGUGUUUUGUUCAUCGAAAAGGUGUGAUUGUUCAUUACAUAUUCUAUUUAUAAAUAAUACUAUUACUUAACAUUUUUAUUAUUACUA